CCUUUAUUUGAUUCCAUUCCCUUUCCAUCCUCUAUCCCAAUCCAACGACCACUAAAAAUGUAUGCUUUUCCGGGUGAUGCCGUACGCCGUAACGCCGGCGUUGGCGUUCACGUUCUGCAGUAUAUGUAAUGCGCGGGAAAUAUUUACUAAUUAGACGCUGUUAUUGUCGGUCAUUAACAUUUUCCAGCGAUCGCCCCCUCGUUUCAUUAUUUUAAUUUUUCCUUUUCCGAUUGAACUGCGCUUGAUGAUUCCAUCCGAAUGUUUACGAUAGUAGUUUUUUCUUUGAUCUCUCAAAAUUUAAAUUUUGGAAAGUUAUGAUAAUGGAUAUUUACCUAAUUUCAUUUAGCUCCUUUUAUUUUUCUACAGAUUUCUAGUUGAAGAGCGGUGUGUUUAUUGAACGUUGCUGAAAUUUGUUGAUAAUUUCGUGAUUUUAACGCCUGCUUUAAAUUUGGUGAUGUAUAUGCUGCAUUUUAUGUUUCGUAGAUUCUAAGACGUCAUAUUCGGAAUUAUGUUGGCGUGCAAGCUGACGGACAUAUGGAUAAUACUGGAUUAUAGAUUUAGCCCAUGUUUGGUUGAGUGUUUUUAGAGGUUGAAAAUAGAUUCAAUUAAAUCCAUUACUUGUUGUUUGGUUUGGGUAAUGAGUUAACCAUUACCCUUACUAAUGAUUCAUUUCCAUUGUUUAACCAAACACUCAAUAAAAGUAAUGGUUAUUGUUACCAUUCCGUUACUUUAUUUGAUUCCAUUCCCUUUCCAUUCCUCUACUUGAACCAAACGAGCACUUAAAAGAUGUAAAGAGGAUCUCAUUGGCAGAUUUUGCGGUCAAAUGAGCAGAUACUGUUGUUAUAUUAAAUAUAAUGGUAUUUAGGUGAGUUCUCAGUCGUGAAGAGUUUUGGUCGUCUGUAUAUUUAAGAUCAGAUAACUGAUAGGAAUCUUUUAAUUGAUUCGUGCUGUCACAAUGCAGAAGAAAGAUUGUCAAAACAUCGCAAAUGCAAUAGGCUAGUAGCAUAGGUAAACUGUAGUAUCUUGAUGGCACAAUAACGGCAGUAUAAUCUUCAUAAGAUGGUCUUUUGGAGCUGUGAUGUUGAAUUGUGCAGCUGUUAUGGAUAAUUUGAUGAAGCAUGUAUAGAUUCAUGUGUCUUAAAUGGAAUUUUUGUUUUUCCUGGUUGUUAGUUUUGUUUGUUUGUAUAUCUCUUAAAUGGAUAACAGCUACAUUUUCUUUUCUGAUACAGGUUACUUUACUGGCUUCAAUGUGAAAUAGUUAAUAUUCCAGAGUAGAUGUUAAUGUAUUAUGAACAAAUGUUUGCAAGAUAGAGUUGAAUGCUUGGAGUCAUCCUUAAUCCUUAACUAUGAUCUUGCCUAUGUGCUAAUAUGCGUUCUCGACUCUAUGUGUAUCUGUAUGGUAAAACAUAUCCAUGCAUGUGAUUUAACCUUCAAAAUGUGACUUAUAGUUUUCAUUAUUCAUCAAAAUGUUUUUGCAUAUGGUAAACCUUUCGUCUCAGGCUCACAGAGAUGACCUGAAAUAUAACCUUAAGAUAUUUGGCAGGUCCGAUAUACAGGUAGAGGACAAAUAUGGAUCAUUUGCUUACGGAUAUCCAUGCAAGUGCUAGGAAAGCACUUAAAACACUCCAUGUACAAAGGAUAUGUGGUGAGCCAGUUACUCUGUAAUUGUCCAACAGAUAGCCUCUAGCCAUUCUCAAAUUUGUUAGAGUUGGUAAAACGUGUGAACCUGCCACAGGGAAAAUCUUGCUCUCAAGCAAAUAUUCAAGUGGGUUUUGAAUGAGCUCUAACAGUGGCCAAGAUAAAAUGGACCAAGCAAGCCGGCCGAGAAGCUACAAAUGGAACACUUUUAACAUGUGCUUGAUGAUUUAACUGGCUACUUUCUUGAUGAUUUAAAUGGCUUUGUGGGGGUAAUGGAUCACCUCAAAGGACCAUCCUGGGAUAGGGGUUCCAGAAAGAGUUAUUUUGGAAUAUGAUCAAUGUGAAGAGAAGGUUGUGUAUCUAGCGAAAAUUGUUAAUCUAGUAGGUAGGUCCUGGGAGGCAGCAUCCAGGUGCUGGUAGUUUUCCUUUCAACAUCAGAAAAGUAAUAUGGAUCUAUUCACUUCUUGUAAUGAUUGGAGUUCGCUGAGAGUGGAUGCUCCCACAUGUUGCCCUGGAGGUAGGGUGGAUAUUUCAGUGGUGUGAAAAGGAUCAGGAGGGACACUGAAAGUUAGGAUCAAAGUCAUGCAAAAAGUGCUUGCACACCGUCAUCUUCUUCAUCUUACUCUUAUUACACUUUGUCAAGCCAACAGUUACUAAUUAGCAUUGGAUUCUUUUGACACCUCCAUCCCCCAUCUUAUUACUAGUCCAACCAAUGGCAGCGAAGGGAAACUCCUCAUCUUUUUCUAGGUCAUCUACUUUAAAAGAAUAUGUGUUUCUAUCCUCUAAUGGUGGCUGCAGUAAUCUGGAUUGAUUGGUGUUGAUAUGACAAAGUGGUAGCUUUACUAGGAGAGACUUUUUGGCUCAUGGUGGUGGAAUACAUGGAGUGCUUUUUGCCUCUAUUUAACUAAAUUGAUGCUUUUGUACGUGCUAAAUUGUCUACUAAUUACAUCAGAAAUGCAGAUGUUAUCGUUCUGCAUGGUUCGGUCCUGAUUCCUGCUAGUUCUCAGCAUACCUCUGUCAUUCAUUACAGAGGAAUAUCUAAGAUUUUUAGAUGACUUGUCAAUUUUAGUGGGAAGUGAGUUCUUGAUGUGAAAAUAUACGUAUAUUGGAGGAAGGCAGGUUUUCUGAUACAUAAAGAUUUUAAUUUAUCAACGAGUGACAGGUUUCUAUUGCUUCUUUUGCUUUUAAAUGUGAAUGGCUUAUGACUGUUGUUUUAUGAAGGAAUGUUUCAAUGAACCUUUGCACUUGAAUAGGAAAUCUUUAUUUGCUAUUAUUGUUCAGAAUCAUAUUGCCUGGUAAUAAACUAUUUUCUUGUUGGUAAGUGGAUCUGCUGAGAUAAUAGUACUUCGUCGUGCAUUAUUUAAGUUUGUUAUGUUGUUGGCAAAUUAAAUGUGCAGCGUCAUGUGUUAUGAUAGUCUAACUAAUAGUUGGCCUAGUUUACCACUUCACCUUUGUUUUUAUGCAUUUUAAGGGGAAAUGGGUGAGGUCGGCUGUGUAGUUGCAGUUUGGCUGUAUGUUGAAGAGAAAUUAAAUUAUGUUAUCAACUUAUCAUCAUUGUUACUAAUGCUGUAUAUUACAAUUUUGCCUCUUCGGUUCUGAGAUUAACUUUUCAUUCUUUGAUGCUUUUACCUGUAGUUUGGACUGUUAAUUUGGGAAGUUCAGUGAGGCUGUUCCAAAGGGGAGGGUCACAAUGUUUAGAUGAUGCUAGUUCUAAAACUACAACUGUCCAAGUUCAUCAUAUGAAUAGUUUUCGGACUUAAAUCGACAUAGUAGAGUUGGCACAGGUUAUAAUAUGUAUUGACUUCUCUAAUCAAGUUGAUGCUAAUAGCAAAUAACUCAAUUUCAUCAGCUUGCAUCGAACUAAAAAAACAAGAAUUUUAAGGUGAUUAUGACUGAAGAAACACUCUAAAUAAUUUACAUUUGGAAAUUAUAGAUGCAUAUCAUGGUAAGCAGAAAUGAGGAUUCUACACAAAUGAUGUGCUUAUAUGUUAGUUGGUGCUAUCUGUGAGACUAACAAUGACUGAGGUUUUUUGAUAUAAAGUAGGAAUUGAAGAGUGAUUCUUAUUGUUGUAUACCUCAAAAUUGAAGUCCAUGUAGCAACUUGGGUUGCAAUUUUCCUUGUAGCCCCCCUAAUUGCCUAUGUCAAUUGAGAUGAAUUAGAAAUGCCAAUUUUUUUUUCUCUAAAGCGCCUAUUUCAAUGUUUCGUUUCAGAAGGUGGGAAGAAAGUUAUCCAACUUUGUUGCAUGCUCAAACUUGACGCCCCAAUAAUAUGUUGCUCAAGACCAAAGGACAUUCCAGUUUGUUGUGUGCUUUCUUGCCAGGUAACCAACCAAUGUAGCUUGUUUUCCUUCUUUUUCACCUAAACAGUAAGGAAAUACAUGUCAACCUCACUUGGGCCCCUCCUAGCUAGUUUUCGUUGUUGGAUUAGAUAUCUGUAAGCAAAGUGCACUCGCGUCUGUAAGACCCUUGUCACUUUGUUGAGCAUUAGGUUUAUAAGAUAUAUUUUAUAUAAAUAGCAUAUGCAUUUUAGGUAUCACUAUUUUUUCAUCCAACCACAACUAAUUACUCACUGUGCAUUCCAGUGUUCCCCGGGUUGUAUUCUAUGCCACAUUUUAAGAAAUGUGUAUCUUUCACAUUAGAAUAGUGUUUUGCAGCUGGAGCAUGGGGUAUAACGAGAGUUGAGGCAGGAUUAGAGGUGUCGUGAAAGAGGGAAAGGAAGUAAAUAGAAUUGAAUAGGGA
rnacentral:lncRNA from 1 species